rnacentral:rRNA from 1 species
GUAGUCCACGCCGUAAACGAUGAGUGCUAGUUGUUUGGGGCUAUCCAGCCCUAAGUGACGCAGCAAACGCAUUAAGCACUCCGCCUGGGGAGUACGACCGCAAGGUUGAAACUCAAAGGAAUUGACGGGGGCCCGCACAAGCGGUGGAGCAUGUGGUUUAAUUCGAAGCAACGCGAAGAACCUUACCAGGUCUUGACAUACCAGUGCUAUUCUUAGAGAUAAGAAGUUACUUCGGUACACUGGAUACAGGUGGUGCAUGGUUGUCGUCAG